CAGUAGUCACGAGUUUGAUCAUGGCUCAGAACGAACGCUGGCGGCAUGCCUAACACAUGCAAGUCGAACGAGCCCUUCGGGUCUAGUGGCGCACGGGUGCGUAACGCGUGGGAAUCUGCCCUUAGGUACGGAAUAACUCAGAGAAAUUUGUGCUAAUACCGUAUGAUGUCGAAAGACCAAAGAUUUAUCGCCUAAGGAUGAGCCCGCGUAAGAUUAGCUUGUUGGUGAGGUAAAAGCUCACCAAGGCGACGAUCUUUAGCUGGUCUGAGAGGAUGAUCAGCCACACUGGGACUGAGACACGGCCCAGACUCCUACGGGAGGCAGCAGUGGGGAAUAUUGGACAAUGGGCGAAAGCCUGAUCCAGCAAUGCCGCGUGAGUGAUGAAGGCCUUAGGGUUGUAAAGCUCUUUUACCAGGGAUGAUAAUGACAGUACCUGGAGAAUAAGCUCCGGCUAACUCCGUG
rnacentral:rRNA from 1 species